GCAUGAUAUGUUUUGACACUGAAAAUAUUGGCAUUCUGCGUUAGCCCUACAGGUUUGUCAAUAGCGUUUCAGUUCGCCUAGAGUAGGUGCAGUCUCUGAGAUUUAUUACUGGAGCUGAGUGUUUGUGUGUAUGAGUAAGUAAAGAUACAGUUUCACAUGGCCUGAUGCUUGAUAGAGUGCUUCGUAGGAUUAGGGACGGACGGACAUAUAUUUCCAG